rnacentral:rRNA from 1 species
GAAUGCUGACAUAAGUAACGAUAAAGCGGGUGAAAAGCCCGCUCGCCGGAAGACCAAGGGUUCCUGUCCAACGUUAAUCGGGGCAGGGUGAGUCGACCCCUAAGGCGAGGCCGAAAGGCGUAGUCGAUGGGAAACAGGUUAAUAUUCCUGUACUUGGUGUUACUGCGAAGGGGGGACGGAGAAGGCUAUGUUGGCCGGGCGACGGUUGUCCCGGUUUAAGCGUGUAGGCUGGUUUUCCAGGCAAAUCCGGAAAAUCAAGGCUGAGGCGUGAUGACGAGGCACUACGGUGCUGAAGCAACAAAUGCCCUGCUUCCAGGAAAAGCCUCUAAGCAUCAGGUAACAUCAAAUCGUACCCCAAACCGACACAGGUGGUCAGGUAGAGAAUACCAAGGCGCUUGAGAGAACUCGGGUGAAGGAACUAGGCAAAAUGGUGCCGUAACUUCGGGAGAAGGCACGCUGAUACGUAGGUGAAGUCCCUCGCGGAUGGAGCUGAAAUCAGUCGAAGAUACCAGCUGGCUGCAACUGUUUAUUAAAAACACAGCACUGUGCAAACACGAAAGUGGACGUAUACGGUGUGACGCCUGCCCGGUGC